rnacentral:rRNA from 1 species
CGGGACGGGUGAGUAAUGUCUGGGAAACGUGCCUGAUGGAGGGGGAUAACUACUGGAAACGGUAGCUAUACCGCAUAACGUCGCAGACCAAAGAGGGGGACCGUUCGGGCCUCUUGCCAUCGGAUGUGCCCAGAUGGGAUUAGCUAGUAGGUGGGGUAACGGCUCACCUAGGCGACGAUCCCUAGCUGGUCUGAGAGGAUGACCAGCCACACUGGAACUGAGACACGGUCCAG